rnacentral:lncRNA from 1 species
CUGACAGAGUCAGAGUGGGGCCGGCACUGCAUUAGAAUCCUCAAAGCUGUCACAUCAUGUAGGGCUUCAGUUCUAGGCCUUACGCCGCACUGAGAUCAAACACAGGCCUAAAGACUGGCAGAGGGAGCUGGAGGGAAAAUGGCACUGGGCUGGUGCAGCGCCUUGAGGUGGAAAGUCUCCUAGAGCAAAUCGUCGGCCAGAUCCAGAGAAGACAGCGGAAAACACCGUGAAUCCACAGGAGAAGCUGCCCAUGAUGUCAGGUUGGCUAUAUAUUGGAUUAGAGCCCUACAAUGUUUUCUCAUUGAGCGCAAUGAAAGCACUGGUCUCAGGCAGGAAGUCUCACCCGAGUGGAGAAAGGUGGCACUGGUCUCAGGCAGGAAGUCUCACCCGAGUGGAGAAAGGUGGAGCCCCAGGAAGGGGUGAUGCAUCUCCCCAUUUUCUUCAGUGUUUCCUCCCCCUGCUGAUCAAACCCUAAUUUAUUGUUCAGACCAUGUGUGUGCCUUUCUCUAAGUAUAUUUAUUCUGAUGUGAAAUCAUUUCUAUGAGCACUGUUGAUAUCGUUGUAACUGUUUACUGAGUGCAUUUUCUUUUUUUGCAAAAGGGUUAUGACAGUGUCUAUCCAAAUCAGCAUUUUGCCUGAUUCCAUUAAGCAGCGGCGUAGGAAAAACAGAACAGAAAGCUUAGUCAUAAUCAUGCUGGCACAUGCUUGUGUGAGUAUAUACAAACAUACGUAUACAUAUAUUCAUAUAUUAGAUGCCAUGACACCUAGAGGGGAUGUAACCUGGGGAUUGGCUGGCUAUGGUGUGUAUAUAAUCAGGAAUAUUUGAUUUGUUAAGUUUAUUUAUAUCUUACCUUUUUCCAUUUUCACAAUAAAAUCAUUUACAUGAAGGUUGAUGCUAAACAAGGAAAUGAAUAUGAUGAAUAUCAGAACCAAGGAAACGAACAGGCAGUGCCGCGCGUCAGCUUAGCUGAGAAAUAUAUCCUUGCUGUAAUUAAACAUCAAACUUGCC